AAUUAAAUAGGGAAAUAACUAAAUUCUAGCUAGCUUAGGAAGACUUAAUUAAAUAAUCCUAAUUGAAAUAGGAAAUUAAAAUAAGCUAAUUUGGCAACUAAAAAACACUCCCAGAACAAGUAGAAACUCUCCAAAAACAAGUAGGAUCAUGUUAGAACUGUUGGGAGCACGCUUGUAGAUGUAUUGGGCGAGGAGAAAUGGGUCUCUCAAUGAGGGAAAAAGGAGGUGUAUCGUGGGGUCUGUUAUUUGAGAUUUACAGGGGAGCCGAGUGUCUUGAGUGAGUUGCGUGUGAGGUGGUGGGUUUGAGAGCAGUUGCGGAGGAGUUGGGAGAGAUAAAACUUGUGGGUGCAAUGACAGAGAGAGAAAGGGAUUCGGUCUUGGAGAGUUGGCAGAUUUAUUAGGGUUAGGGGUUUCUUUUUAGUAGGAAUUAGAGAGGGCAUAUUUGGGUUUAAAAAGUAUUCUACCUCAUUUUACCAAAUUUUCCACAAAAAAAGGAUGACUUUGGAUGAAAGGAUGUUUUUAUUUAACUGUUCAAAAAGAUAGGGGCUUUUUAAUGAGUUUUUGAAAAUACGGGGACUAACUUGUAAAUAAUGAUAAUAUGCAGGGACUAAAUUGUAAAUCUUCCAUAGAAUCAAUAGUAAUUAAGGAGUUAGAUAAAUUUUCUAUUCCCGGGACAAAUUCUCCAAGCUCUUUGUCUUUUAACCAUAGCACAAGGAAAUUAUCAAAGCUUCCAGUUCUGAUCCUUUGACAUUAGUCACCUCAACUUUUAGUUGAGUUUCAGAUUUAAGUUGCCUUUAUCGUUCUUUUUUUUCAACCAUUAAUGGCUUUGGUUGGACCUCUAGUUUAUAACGUUUUUGGUGGAAUAAAAUCUGCUCGUAAUCUGGAGGCAGAAGUUCUUGUUUCAACAAAUAAUUCAUCAUAAACCAAGUAUGAACCGGCCCUUUUCCUUCUCGCUCCCUCUUAGAUUGUAGCCAUUCCCACCAAACAGAAGCACAACCUUUAAGUCAACAAGCCAUCAAUUGUACUUGUUUUUCAAGUGCUAUAUGCACAUGGUCAAAGAAUUUGUCCACCUACGCGAUCCAAUCUAAGAAUUCUUCUACUUUAAGAUCUCCAUAAAAAUUAGGAAUAUCAAUAGCAAUUGAUUUUCCCUUUCAUGAUUCUUAUACGUGCCUCUUCUCCUAUCACUACCGUAUUGUUGAUGCCUAUUGAACUUGA
rnacentral:misc_RNA from 1 species